GACGAACCGUGCGAACGUUGUUCGGAAUCACUGGGCUUAAAGGGCGCGUAGGCGGGUGACCAAGUCAGGGGUGAAAUCUUUCGGCUCAACCGGAAAGUGCCUCUGAUACUGGUCGUCUUGAGGGAGGUAGGGGUUGAGGGAACUGGUGGUGGAGCGGUGAAAUGCGUAGAUAUCACUAGGAACGCCGGUGGCGAAAGCGCUCGACUGGACCUCUUCUGACGCUGAGGCGCGAAAGCCAGGGGAGCAAACGGG
rnacentral:rRNA from 1 species